CAAAUUCUCUUUUUUCCGUUUCUGAAAUUCACCAGAAUAUCAAAUCCAUGAGAACAAAAAUUGUCAUGUAGCAGUCAUAAAAAGAAGUGCAACGGUCGAUCCAAAAUAGCACUCUCUCCUAUACAUACACACAUUCUGAAAAUGCACCCAACAAAUCAGAAACCCUGAUGAUCCCAAUUUUCUAAUAACCGUCUAACCAAACAGCAGCCAAUAAAAAGGUUGAAGACACACAUCUAUACAAACAUAUCUAUGUGCUCUAUUUUUACCGUUGGGGACGUCGUCGGAGUGGUAGAGGGACUUGUGGAUGUCCAUGGCGUAAUCGACCAUGUUGGUGUUGUUAAGAAGCUCUAUUUUUGCCUUUAAAAUAUCCUCCUCUGCAUACAGUCCCCUCUCCUGCAAGAACUCCAGUAGAGGAAACACCAGGUGCCUGUCCAACUGCGGCGCUAUUCGUGGUGUCAAAUCGUACUUCGCCGCCAUUGCUUAUUUUCGUUCAGCCUAAUCAAUCACCGUUGGUCGUCGUGGCGGUGGUGGUGGAGGGGUUUGGGUUUUUGGACAGGAUUGAAUGGGUGGAUCUGACAGUGGACGGGGGGACUACACUAGGGUUUGAUAUUAGUUCAUGUGAUUUUGGAACAAUAUCGAGCUUUCGAGUUAAUUGUUCCAAUAGUGAUUGAAAUUAGAUUCAUGUCUUUAAUUGGUUAGUUAAUUUUAAAAAGUCGAAUUUUAGUCAUUAAUUUUGAAAAAUGUCGAGUUUUGAUUAUUAAACUUAGGUCAAUAUUUUUUAUUGGUCAUUAAAGUUUAAAAUAUCGAGUUUUAAUCACUAAACUUACGUUAAUGUCUUUAAUUGGUCACUGAAAUUUAAAAUGUCGAGUUUUGAUCACUGAACUUAAGUCAAUGUCUUCGAUUGCUCACUGAACUUAGGUCAAUGUCUUAAAUUGCUUAUUGAACUUUAAAAUGUUUGAGUUUUGGCCAUUGAACUUUUGAAUAUGUCGUACGUUACUCAUUAGCAUAACUGUUAAAUUUUGAAAAUGAAUAAUACACUAUAUUUUUCAAAAUUCAGUGAGAAUGUACAAUAUUUUUCAAAGUUCAAUAAGUAAUGUACAAUAUUUUUCAAAGUUCAGUGGCCGAAAUUCGAUAUUUUAAAUUUCAGUGAGCAAUCGAAGACAUAGACUUAAGUUCAGUGAUCAAAACUCGACAUUUUUUAAAGUUCAGUGGCCAAAAUUUGACAAUUUAAACUUCAGUGGCUAAUAAAAGAUAUGAACCUAAAUGUAAUGAUCAAAACUCGACAUUUUAAAGUUUAGUGAUCAAUCAAAAAUAUGGACCUAAGUUCAGUGACUAUUGGAACAAUUAACUCAUGAGUUUCCCCCCAAACUAUUGAUAUUUAUACUCAACUCCCAAUUCGCUAUGAAUAUAUGAUCAUUAACUUUUUUACCAAAUGAAGCAUACAAAAUACAUUAAUUAAACGGAGCAAAUAUCUAUUUUACCGAGUCUCUUCAAAUAUGCUCUGAUUGUUACACAUGCAAGUUAGAACUUGCAGACAAAAAAUUUGCUACCUUUAGGUCGUCAUAAUUAUCAUCGUUGUCCACCAAUUUAUUAUUUAUUAGGUCACCAACUUCCUUAAUAGCGAUUGUUUGACACUAAACAAGCGUCAAUUGUCAUAUAUAAUUUUACAAUUUUACAGAGACAUUUUUUUUUUAAAUAACCAUCUGUAUAUGAUAUCUACGACCCUUCUAAGAGGAGUCACACUCUCUCCAGGUGCAAAUAAAAAGGAAUAAAUGUGACUACCAAUUUUUUGAAUUUGAAUCAAUUAGUAAGAAAGGGUCAUAGGUAACUCUGAUUACGGGUACCAACUUCGCACGAUUAUUUUAUCCAGCGUGUGUUUUACACUAUUUGAAAAGUUAGCUAAUGACUAUAUCAAUACGCAAUUGUUAAAAGAUAGUACAUAUAUAAAGUAAUUACAAUAUAUUUAGCACAAAAUACUGGCCAAGAGAAGGUUUAAAUAAUGAAAAGUACAUUAGAAUCUUUUGUAUCAAUAUCAUACAUAAACUCGGCUUUAUGUCUAAAUCACAAAUGAACUUACAAAUUUGUAUUCUAUUUAUAAAUUUACAUUCGUCUAUCAAAAUUAACAAAAUAAUUUUGUGAGACAAAUAGAGUUUCUACGUGGCAAUUACAUGACACGCACUUGAUACAUUAAUUACGCCAAUGAUAAAUAAACGUUACCUUUGUAUCAACACUAUACGUGAAUUUUACUACAUGUAACAAGUCCUCGAGUAAAUUCAUUUUUGUAUUAAAAUCAUACAUCACAAAUUUAAGUCUCAUUCAUACAUGAAUUAACGUCUAUCUAUCAUAGCUAAUAAAACAAUUCACGUGACAAACAAAAUACUUACAUAAAAAUUGUAUGGCAACAUUUGUUUGUACUCAAGAACGAUGUUCAUGACCAUCUAAAGUCCAGAUAUCAAGCUCGAUCAAUUUCUUGACCUCACCACAUCUAGGUACAAAUGUUACUGGAAUUUCGAGGAUUGGAUAUCAUUUUGCAGUAUUAAAAAUAAGAAAUUAAUUUAUUAUUAUUUUUUUUCCCAUUAUUUUGUCUAGUCUAACCCAACACUACCUACCUAACCUAACUUGGGUUGAUUUAUUUCCUCUUCCACCAGAUGUUUGUGCAUCAUAUAAGAUAACAAAAUCCAAUGCCUACCAGGAGCAAGUUUCAAGGUUUCAAGUCAUAAAUACAAUUGUAAAAGACAAAUGCAGUCUGGUAACAUAAGAACGUCCAAAUUUGUCUCCCCAUAGAAUUUAAAUUAAAAUUAAAAAAAAUCGAAAAAUAUAGAGAAAUAAGCAAAAUAAUAUCGACGAAUAACAAAGCUAAAUCUAGAACAUCAGCAAACAAAAUAAAAUAGAAAACUUACGCAUUAUCUAAGGAAUACAUUUUAUCGAAGUAGGGUGGCAACAGUUUGAACUACAGAGAUGCCCAUAACUGAACUCUUAACAAGUGUGGACUCGAUCAUAACCGUCCCUAAAGUAAUAACACAUAGUUGAUGAACUCAUAAACAUUAUACCGUUAGUGUUAACAAAGAACUCUCGAAUUCACAGACUGCAGAAAAUCAAAAGCUGGGAUUCAAACAAGGAAGAUAGGUGCAUUCCACUAUGCUAUGAGGAAUGGCAUGACGGUCAACAUGAAGGAUUCAUAGGUGAAGGUCGCCGAACCAGAGUAGGUAGCAUCCUUCUCCUUGAAUUUUUCAGUCAGUCCCUGCAAAAGAUACAAUGCAAUGUUGGAAAAUGUAUAGACCUAAAAAUUUACCGGGACCAAAAGAUUCAAACAGUCAAAGAAUGCACAGCAAACAUGAAAAAGGAAAAGAGAACGGCAUAAUAUGGUGUACCUUAACAGUGAGGCAGCACCUGGUCAUUGAAAAAGAAAAAUUAGUAAAAUUGGAAGAUACAUACAUAAUGUGGAAUAGAAGAAAGUACAGUGAAAUCUAAAGAGACAUAAUGAGAAACAUACUCGAUGAAAUUGUCAUACUCAAUAGCCUUGUUUUUUCCACCGCUUUUAUCAAACUUGGUCACCAGCAGAUCCAAAACCACAGGUGAUACUGAAUAUCCAAGGCUAAGGAGAGCCUCUCUCAAUUCUUGAGCAUCAAUUUUGCCACUCCUAUCCCUGUCAAAUCGCUCAAAAAUUGCCUAUAAGGAGAACAAAUUCAUUAGAUGUACACAGAAGAAUUACGAAUGUAAUGCAUGUUUGAUAGAGGACUGAUAGCACUCAACCAGGAAGAACAAGAAGCUAAAAUCUUGUUCAUCUUAACAUCAUCUAGUCAGACCCGGUCCUGGGCCGAGGCCAAUGAGGCAUGCGCCUCAGGCCCAAGACCAUAAGGGGCCUAAUUUUAGCCCUAUAAUUUUUUUUUUAACUUUUUUUUUCACAUGGCUAGGCGCCCCAAAACCAUUAUCCAACAAGCCCAAUCCAUUUACUCUUAAAUCCAAUUACCCAACCCAACUUACAUAUCCAAUAUCCACAAUCCAAUCCAAUUAACCAAAAAUCCCCAAAAUCUGAAAUACAAUCAAGGGCUUGCUUAGUUGCUCGAAGUGCUUAUCGCCUAAGUGUUUGUGUCGUCUCCGUCAGUUUAGUGGUCACUCCACCAGUCCCGCAGUAGCAUUUGGAUUCUGCAGAAAAGUUAUGAUAGGAGCCGCAGACUCCUCCAGUGAUUUCAGCCUGGCCACCACCUCAACUCUCCUUUCCACCAUCUCUAAAGCAGAGAGAGAGAUAGAGAGAAAGAAAGUUCAGAAAUCAACUCAAACACAAGCCCUCCACACUGCAUCUCAAGACAUUUAGGAACCUUAAAACCAUAAAAUAAUGUCUCGAUAAGCAAUGAUGGACUGGAACUUGAAGCCAUAAGACCCAAGGAAUAACAUAACAUGGAAAAAGAUGGCAUCCCGUGAACAGAAUCCCCACGUUUUGGGUCAAUAAAACGAAAUAAGAAAAAAUGUAGAAUCAAUACUAAUAGCCUGUUUGGGAAUAAUUUUUCCCUCCAAAAAAUUGAUUUUUUGACCGUUAUUUCACUAUUUCAGCCGUCAUAUUUGACUUCUUUUCUCACAGAUCGACCCUACUUUUCUCCUAACGGUCAAAAAAUCAAUUCUUAAAAUCACUCUCAAACAGGCUCUAAAUCUACUCCGUUACUAUAUCAACAUGCACAAAUCUGCACAUAAGAAUGUCUAAUUUGAAAUAAUUUUAUAUUCACAGUUCGAAAUCAAGACUCCAAAUUGGAUGUGAGCUAAUAUUAAGGAUCUUCGCACAUGAGACAUUAAUCCCUCCACAUACCCGCACAUAAUCAAGUUAUAAGAGCCCAAGUUCAGCAAGCACGUAUAUAUUCAGACUAGUAGCUGAAAAAAAGAGUCAACUGAACCAUCUGAAUUAAAAUUUCAUCUCCUAAAUAUACCCGACCAACCAAGACCUAGAAACCAUAUAAUCUGCGUAUUAACCAUCAGUUACAAAAAUAGGUAAAUGAGUCCCCAUCUGAUUUUCAAAUUCACCGUGUCUCCCAAGUAAAUAUGGGGUGGUGGUAUUUUCAGGUGGACCAGCAAAUUCUCUUUUUUCCGUUUCUGAAAUUCACCAGAAUAUCAAAUCCAUGAGAACAAAAAUUGUCAUGUAGCAGUCAUAAAAAGAAGUGCAACGGUCCAUCCAAAAUAGCACUCUCUCCUAUACAUACACACAUUCUGAAAAUGCACCCAACAAAUCAGAAACCCUGAUGAUCCCAAUUUUCUAAUAACCGUCUAACCAAACAGCAGCCAAUAAAAAGGUUGAAGACACACAUCUAUACAAACAUAUCUAUGUGCUCUAUUUUUACCGUUGGGGACGUCGUCGGAGUGGUAGAGGGACUUGUGGAUGUCCAUGGCGUAAUCGACCAUGUUGGUGUUGUUAAGAAGCUCUAUUUUUGCCUUUAAAAUAUCCUCCUCUGCAUACAGUCCCCUCUCCUGCAAGAACUCCAGUAGAGGAAACACCAGGUGCCUGUCCAACUGCGGCGCUAUUCGUGGUGUCAAAUCGUACUUCGCCGCCAUUGCUUAUUUUCGUUCAGCCUAAUCAAUCACCGUUGGUCGUCGUGGCGGUGGUGGUGGAGGGGUUUGGGUUUUUGGACAGGAUUGAAUGGGUGGAU
rnacentral:lncRNA from 1 species